rnacentral:tRNA from 1 species
UUAGCUCAGCUGGAUAGAGCGUUUGCCUCCGGAGCAAAAGGCCGUGGGUUCGAAUCCCGCAGG